AACGAACGCUGGCGGCAGGCUUAACACAUGCAAGUCGAGCGCCCCGCAAGGGGAGCGGCAGACGGGUGAGUAACGCGUGGGAAACUAUCCUUUGGUACGGAAUAACUUGAGGAAACUUAAGCUAAUACCGUAUAAGUCCUUCGGGAGAAAGAUUUAUCGCCAAGGGAUGUGCCCGCGUCGGAUUAGCUAGUUGGUGAGGUAACGGCUCACCAAGGCGACGAUCCGUAGCUGGUCUGAGAGGAUGAUCAGCCACACUGGGACUGAGACACGGCCCAGACUCCUACGGGAUGCAGCAGUGGGGAAUAUUGGACAAUGGGCGCAAGCCUGAUCCAGCCAUGCCGCGUGAGUGAUGAAGGCCUUAGGGUUGUAAAGCUCUUUCGCACGCGAAGAUAAUGACGGUAGCGUGAGAAGAAGCCCCGGCUAACUUCGUGCCAGCCGCCGCCGUAAUAC
rnacentral:rRNA from 1 species